ensembl:snoRNA
AUGUGAUGCCUCUGAUGAAGCCUGUGUUAGUAGAGACAUCUGAGAGUGUAGAUGAAUACCAAUGACUCUCAUGGAAAAAG